AGACUCCCGAUCUAGCGACAAAUGGACUUUCAAAACAGAAAAAAGUAUGAAUAAAACUAUAAGAGUUUACGUGCUGAUGCCAGAGGCAUUUAAGAUAUGGUGUAGCAAUAGAAACCAUUCCUUAUAAUGUUAUUGCAAACGUCAUCCAAGACAUUGUAUGGUAUGGAUAUGACCAUUCUGUGUCUGUGAUAAAGAAACGUGGAAAUGGAGUGGUACUAUACUAACAUAAUCUUAUUAAUCCUUUUUUUCUAUAAUAGAAAUCUUAAAAUUCAUAAACCAAUAAAUCUCUGAAAGCAGGUCGUGAUAUAUAUUAAAAACAAUGGACAAGUACAACUAGAGUAAAUUGUAAAUUAAGGUUUUCCUAAUCAGGUACACAUCCGUGCUAUACCAAUUCAUUUGUAACAGAAAACCCAGAAAAAUAUAUUUAACAUGUAACAACAAACUGUAUUUGCAUGCCCUCUUUGUCUUUGAAUUUUUCGUAAAAUCAGGAUGAUUA